rnacentral:rRNA from 1 species
GACGAACGCUGGCGGCGUGCUUAACACAUGCAAGUCGAACGAAGUGGCGAACGGGUGAGUAACGCGUAAUCAACCUGCCCUUCAGAGGGGGACAACAGUUGGAAACGACUGCUAAUACCGCAUACUGAAGGAGGGGAUUGCGUCUGUUUAGCUAGUUGGAGGGGGAACGGCCCACCAAGGCGAUGAUCAGUAGCCGGGCUGGGGAGAGGAACGGCCACAUUGGGGCUGGAAAACGGCCCAGACUCCUACGGGAGGCAGCAGUGGGGAAUCUUCCGCAAUGGACGAAAGGCUGGCGGAGCAACGCCGCGGGAGUGAUGACGGCCUUCGGGUUGUAAAGCUCUGUUAAUCGGGACGCGGUACCGGAAUAGAAAGCCACGGCUAACUACGUGCCAGCAGCCGCGGUAAUUC